UAUCUGAUGGUGGCUGUACACACUCGGCGAGAGCCUCUCGCCGAGAGUCUCGACCGAGAGGACCGAGAGAAGAGCGCAGCCUGUACACACUCGUUACGUUAUUUGUAUUUAAAACACCGUUAAUAAUGGACGUGGAAACCGCUGCUGCUGUUUGUCUUUGUGCAAUAAGUUAUUAUAAUUUUCUUCACGUUUACCAUAAAAAAAAAAUUACGAAGCCAUGGCGAAGAAGAAGAUGGUGGAUGGUUACUAUGCACCGCAACAGAAAUAGGCGACCGAGAGAGGCGAGACCGACUGCGAGGAAGCGAGGCGAGACGAGAGCUCUACUUUACACUCUCGCCCUCGGCCUGUCUCGGGGUGUCUCGCCGAGUGUGUACAGCUACCAUUAAAU